GUUGGGAAGACAUCCUGGAUGGAAAGGAACAGACUCGCCAGGUCCCUGGGCUGGAAUGGGCAUUCACAGGGGCUGCUGUGCCUGGGAGCCGGGCACAAACACCUGUGCACAUACCCAGGCCAGCUCCCCCAUGAGUGAGACUCUGAGGCCAUGUGGCCACACGUGAGCACACCCACAGGGUCCAAGUGGCCCCCACAAGCCCAAAACACAGGCCGUUCUGCACAUACAGGUUGCACAUGUGUGCAUCAAGCUUUUCUUCAUCAGAAUGUAGGAGCCAGGUCCUGGCUCCCAGGCUGGCCUAAGCUGGCACGGACAUCCACGGGCAGUCUCCAUGUUCCUCUGCAGGCCAGGCUCUCUGUCCCUACCCCGGACCACCUGUGCUGGAGAGCUGCAGGCUGGGCACUGAGGAGCCGACCUCUUCCGGGGGCUUUCCGAAGGGGCCUGUUUUCAGCUGGGCCAUGCCUGCCUCCCAGGACUUCAGUUUCCUCCUCUGAAAAACCAGACAGCAGCCCGGGGCCCAAGCAUGGUCAUGAGGGCGGUUGGGCAGUGCUGAAGACCCAGCCUGGCUCCAGCUGCUUCGAAAGGACUCCAGCCCCCCAGGACCCCAGCCCACAGCCCUCUGCUGCCCACAGGAUGGGAGCC
rnacentral:lncRNA from 1 species